UUGAUCCUGGCUCAGGAUGAACGCUGGCGGUAUGCUUAACACAUGCAAGUCGAACGGUCUUUUAGGAGACAGUGGCGGACGGGUGAGUAACGCGUAAGAAUCUACCUUCAGGUUGGGGACAACCACUGGAAACGGUGGCUAAUACCGAAUGUGCCGAGAGGUGAAAGGCUUGCUGCCUGAAGAAGAGCUUGCGUCUGAUUAGCUAGUUGGUAGUGUAAGAGACUACCAAGGCGACGAUCAGUAGCUGGUCUGAGAGGAUGAUCAGCCACACUGGGACUGAGACACGGCCCAGACUCCUACGGGAGGCAGCAGUGGGGAAUUUUCCGCAAUGGGCGAAAGCCUGACGGAGCAAUACCGCGUGAGGGAGGAAGGCUCUUGGGUUGUAAACCUCUUUUCUCAGGGAAGAACAGAAUGACGGUACCUGAGGAAUAAGCAUCGGCUAACUCCGUGCCAGCAGCCGCGGUAAUACGGAGGAUGCAAGCGUUAUCCGGAAUGAUUGGGCGUAAAGGGUCCGCAGGUGGCAUUGUAAGUCUGCUGUUAAAGAGUUUGGCUCAACCAAAUAAGAGCAGUGGAAACUACAAAGCUAGAGUGUGGUCGGGGCAGAGGGAAUUCCUGGUGUAGCGGUGAAAUGCGUAGAUAUCAGGAAGAACACCAGUGGCGAAGGCGCUCUGCUAGGCCGAGACUGACACUGAGGGACGAAAGCUAGGGGAGCGAAUGGGAUUAGAUACCCCAGUAGUCCUAGCCGUAAACGAUGGAUACUAGGCGUAGCUCGUAUCGACCCGAGCUGUGCCGGAGCUAACGCGUUAAGUAUCCCGCCUGGGGAGUACGCAGGCAACUGUGAAACUCAAAGGAAUUGACGGGGGCCCGCACAAGCGGUGGAGUAUGUGGUUUAAUUCGAUGCAACGCGAAGAACCUUACCAAGGCUUGACAUGUCACGAAUCCUAUUGAAAGAUGGGAGUGCCUUCGGGAGCGUGAACACAGGUGGUGCAUGGCUGUCGUCAGCUCGUGUCGUGAGAUGUUGGGUUAAGUCCCGCAACGAGCGCAACCCUCGUUUUUAGUUGCCAGCAUUAGGUUGGGCACUCUAGAGAGACUGCCGGUGACAAACCGGAGGAAGGUGGGGAUGACGUCAAGUCAGCAUGCCCCUUACGUCUUGGGCUACACACGUACUACAAUGCUACGGACAAAGGGCAGCUACACAGCGAUGUGAUGCGAAUCUCGUAAACCGUAGCUCAGUUCAGAUCGAAGGCUGCAACUCGCCUUCGUGAAGGAGGAAUCGCUAGUAAUUGCAGGUCAGCAUACUGCAGUGAAUUCGUUCCCGGGCCUUGUACACACCGCCCGUCACACCAUGGAAGUUGGUCACGCCCGAAGUCGUUACCCCAACCUAUUGGAGGGGGAUGCCUAAGGUAGGACAU
rnacentral:rRNA from 1 species